rnacentral:rRNA from 1 species
AACGAACGCUGGCGGCAUGCCUAACACAUGCAAGUCGAACGAGACCUUCGGGUCUAGUGGCGCACGGGUGCGUAACGCGUUGGAUCCUGCCCUUAGGUUCGGCAUAACUCCCCGAAAGGGGUGCUAAUACCGGAUAAUGUCUUCGGACCAAAGAUUUAUCGCCUUUGGAUGGGCCCGCGUUGGAUUAGCUAGUUGGUAGGGUAAAAGCCUACCAAGGCGACGAUCCAUAGCUGGUCGGAGAGGAUGAUCAGCCACACUGGGACUGAGACACGGCCCAGACUCCGACGGGAGGGAGCAGUGGGGAAUAUUGGACAAUGGGCGAAAGCCUGAUCCAGCAAUGCCGCGUGAGUGAGGAAGGCCUUAGGGUUGUAAAGCUCGUUUACCCGGGAUGAUAAUGACAGUACCGGGAGAAUAAGCUCCGGCUAACUCCGUG